rnacentral:rRNA from 1 species
ACCUCCUUAGAGUUUGAUCCUGGCUCAGAUUGAACGCUGGCGGCAGGCCUAACACAUGCAAGUCGAACGGUAACAUUUCUAGCUUGCUAGAAGAUGACGAGUGGCGGACGGGUGAGUAAUGCUUGGGAACUUGCCUUUGCGAGGGGGAUAACAGUUGGAAACGACUGCUAAUACCGCAUAAUGUCUUCGGACCAAACGGGGCUUCGGCUCCGGCGCAAAGAGAGGCCCAAGUGAGAUUAGCUAGUUGGUAAGGUAACGGCUUACCAAGGCGACGAUCUCUAGCUGUUCUGAGAGGAAGAUCAGCCACACUGGGACUGAGACACGGCCCAGACUCCUACGGGAGGCAGCAGUGGGGAAUAUUGCACAAUGGGGGAAACCCUGAUGCAGCCAUGCCGCGUGUGUGAAGAAGGCCUUCGGGUUGUAAAGCACUUUCAGCUUGUGAGGAAAAGUUAGUAGUUAAUACCUGCUAGCCGUGACGU